CUGCCAGCGCUCCGGCGCGGCGAACUAAUUGCUAGUCUCCUCUGGAGGCGACACCCUCAAAUUGCGGGAAAAUCCUAAAGCCAGUGUCACCAAGCCGGCGCCGAAAGGGCGUCGGUGGCCGGGGUAGCGACCUAGGGUACGGUAAAAGCACACUGGAUAAUGCAAUGGACGAUCCGCAGCCAAGCCUCGUCGCCGCAGGGCACGGGGAAGGUUCAGAGACUACAUGGGGGUGGGUAGUGCACUGUCUGGGGGCUCCGGCCCCCGAGCGCCCGCUCACAACACUGCUUAAGAUAUAGUCCGGCCGUGCUGGAAACAGCACG
rnacentral:ncRNA from 1 species